AUACGGAGGGUGCAAGCGUUAAUCGGAAUUACUGGGCGUAAAGCGUGCGUAGGCGGUUUAUUAAGUCAGAUGUGAAAGCCCCGGGCUUAACCUGGGAACUGCAUUUGAUACUGGUAGACUAGAGUAUGGUAGAGGGGGGUAGAAUUCCUAGUGUAGCGGUGAAAUGCGUGGAUAUUAGGGGGAAUACCAGUGGCGAAGGCGGCCCCCUGGACCAAUACUGACGCUGAGGUACGAAAGCGUGGGGAGCGAACAGGAUUAGAAACCCCUGUAGUCC
rnacentral:rRNA from 1 species